CUGAUGCGUUGUUGGGUAGGGGAGCGUUCUGUAAGCCUGCGAAGGUGGCCUGUGAGGGUUGCUGGAGGUAUCAGAAGUGCGAAUGCUGACAUAAGUAACGAUAAAGCGGGUGAAAAGCCCGCUCGCCGGAAGACCAAGGGUUCCUGUCCAACGUUAAUCGGGGCAGGGUGAGUCGACCCCUAAGGCGAGGCCGAAAGGCGUAGUCGAUGGGAAACGGGUUAAUAUUCCCGUACUUGGUGUUACUGCGAAGGGGGGACGGAGAAGGCUAUGUUGGCCGGGCGACGGUUGUCCCGGUUUAAGCGUGUAGGUGUGUGUUCCAGGUAAAUCCGGUUCACUUUAACACUGAGGCGUGAUGACGAGGCACUACGGUGCUGAAGCAACAAAUGCCCUGCUUCCAGGAAAAGCCUCUAAGCAUCAGGUAACAUCAAAUCGUACCCCAAACCGACACAGGUGGUCAGGUAGAGAAUACCAAGGCGCUUGAGAGAACUCGGGUGAAGGAACUAGGCAAAAUGGUGCCGUAACUUCGGGAGAAGGCACGCUGACACGUAGGUGAAGUGAUUUACUCAUGGAGCUGAAGUCAGUCGAAGAUACCAGCUGGCUGCAACUGUUUAUUAAAAACACAGCACUGUGCAAACACGAAAGUGGACGUAUACGGUGUGACGCCUGCCCGGUGCCGGAAGGUUAAUUGAUGGGGUCAGCGCAAGCGAAGCUCCUGAUCGAAGCCCCGGUAAACGGCGGCCGUAACUAUAACGGUCCUAAGGUAGCGAAAUUCCUUGUCGGGUAAGUUCCGACCUGCACGAAUGGCGUAAUGAUGGCCAGGCUGUCUCCACCCGAGACUCAGUGAAAUUGAACUCGCUGUGAAGAUGCAGUGUACCCGCGGCAAGACGGAAAGACCCCGUGAACCUUUACUAUAGCUUGACACUGAACAUUGAGCCUUGAUGUGUAGGAUAGGUGGGAGGCUUUGAAGUGUGGACGCCAGUCUGCAUGGAGCCGGCCUUGAAAUACCACCCUUUAAUGUUUGAUGUUCUAACGUGGACCCGUGAUCCGGGUUGCGGACAGUGUCUGGUGGGUAGUUUGACUGGGGCGGUCUCCUCCUAAAGAGUAACGGAGGAGCACGAAGGUUGGCUAAUCCUGGUCGGACAUCAGGAGGUUAGUGCAAUGGCAUAAGCCAGCUUGACUGCGAGCGUGACGGCGCGAGCAGGUGCGAAAGCAGGUCAUAGUGAUCCGGUGGUUCUGAAUGGAAGGGCCAUCGCUCAACGGAUAAAAGGUACUCCGGGGAUAACAGGCUGAUACCGCCCAAGAGUUCAUAUCGACGGCGGUGUUUGGCACCUCGAUGUCGGCUCAUCACAUCCUGGGGCUGAAGUAGGUCCCAAGGGUAUGGCUGUUCGCCAUUUAAAGUGGUACGCGAGCUGGGUUUAGAACGUCGUGAGACAGUUCGGUCCCUAUCUGCCGUGGGCGCUGGAGAACUGAGGGGGGCUGCUCCUAGUACGAGAGGACCGGAGUGGACGCAUCACUGGUGUUCGGGUUGUCAUGCCAAUGGCACUGCCCGGUAGCUAAAUGCGGAAGAGAUAAGUGCUGAAAGCAUCUAAGCACGAAACUUGCCCCGAGAUGAGUUCUCCCUGAGACUUAGAGUCUCCUGAAGGAACGUUGAAGACGACGACGUUGAUAGGCCGGGU
rnacentral:rRNA from 1 species